GGCAAUAUCAUGUUGAAAUACUGGUUCCCAUAUAAUCACCAAAGUUAAGCAACAUUGAGCCUGGUCAGUAUUUAAAUGGGUGACUACUUGGGAAUACCAGUUGCCGUAA